rnacentral:rRNA from 1 species
UACGUAGGGAGCAAGCGUUGUCCGGAAUCAUUGGGCGUAAAGCGCGCGUAGGUGGCUUCGUAAGUCCGUUGUGAAAGUCAAAGGCUCAACCUUUGAAAGCCGAUGGAUACUGCGGAGCUAGAGUACGGAAGAGGCGAGUGGAAUUCCUGGUGUAGCGGUGGAAUGCGCAGAUAUCUGGAGGAACACCGGUGGCGAAGGCGGCUGCUCUGGACCGACACUGACGCUGACGGCG